UACGUAGGUGGCAAGCGUUGUCCGGAUUUACUGGGCGUAAAGGGAGCGUAGGCGGUCUUUUAAGUGGGAUGUGAAAGCCCUGGGCUUAACCCAGGAAUUGCAUUCCAUACUGGGAGACUAGAGUGCAGGAGAGGAAAGUGGAAUUCCAAGUGUAGCGGUGAAAUGCGUAGAGAUUUGGAGGAACACCAGUGGCGAAGGCGACUUUCUGGACUGUAACUGACGCUGAGGCUCGAGAGCGUGGGGAGCAAACAGG
rnacentral:rRNA from 1 species